CAUGUAGGCGGUCUGUUAAGUCUGAUGUGAAAGCCCGGGGCUCAACCCCGGAAGUGCAUUGGAUACUGGCAGACUUGAGUAUGGGAGAGGAAAGUGGAAUUCCGAGUGUAGGAGUGAAAUCCGUAGAUAUUCGGAGGAACACCAGUGGCGAAGGCGGCUUUCUGGACCAAUACUGACGCUGAGAUGCGAAAGCGUGGGGAGCGAACA
rnacentral:rRNA from 1 species